UUCCAUUUGGCUGUAUGAGAACUGCCAAACAGAGCGACCUGAUGAUGGCUGUAAGCUGGGGAAGCUGUUCCUCAGGAGUGGUGGUGCCUUAUUGCCCCGUUCUUAGUCUCAGCAAGGAGUUAGGUAUCUCUUCUUACCGGGCUGCUCAUUAGCAGGUCUGUGUGCCUUACAGAAGGAAUUGGUAUCACACUGUCAUUUUGCUGCAGAGGGAGAAACUGAGGCAUAAUGGAGCAGAAAAAAACAUUGUGGUUGGUGCGUAGCAGUAAUAGUAGUGCCAGGCUGGAGAUUAAGCCAGCUCUGCUGAGAUUUUAUCCAAUACUUUCCAGUGGGUCAUAAAUGCAUAAAGUAAUCAGGCAAGGACUUUGUCAGAGCACAUCUGCUCCAGUGUUUCUGGUAAAAGUACAUCCGUUAUCCCAAUUAAAUCAUAUGGUCCGGCACUGAUGAUGUGUGAAGGUAAAGCCAUCAGUGGCCUGGCUGUGUCUUUCAGACAGACCAAGAAGAAUGUUGGGCAAGCUAAAUCCAUUUAAUUUCUGGUGCUGCCAAUGCUGGAUAUGGGUGUACGUGGAAGUGGAGCCUCAGGGAUUUCACUGGGGGCUCCAUGUGGACAAAAUGAUCUCUUUCACUCAAGGAAGCUUAUAAUAUCAAAACCACUGUAAGAAAAUGGUCUCUGUACAAAGCUUACCGAGAUGAAGGUUUUCCAAUGGCAUGUCAGUUAAAAUUCCCAAGAAGUGGUUUACCUGAGAUUAAUAAUGCAUUUGGAGGAGGUCUGUGAGAUAGCCUGCUGCUCCUGUCAAGUCUCCUGCCAGUCUCAGAAGGGAGGAGGUAAGUUGUAUUUUCCUCUUGCUGUUCUGCUUGCAUAAAAGUGACCUGGGAAAAUAAGAGUAAAAUAGUUCCUUCAAGCAGAUGAGGCAAGGAGAAAUUGGUUGACUGGGUCUAACUGCAAAAAGGAAAUGCAAACCCCUCAAUUCACCCUCAUGCUAAGGUGUUGUGGUUUUUUUUUGAAGAAUAAAAGGAGGUAGCAGAAUUCAUGCAAGGCUUUAUACGUUUGUUUUCUAUAACAGUGCUUUGUUUCCUUUUGGUCCUUCAAGUCCUUUUUCAGUACUGGAAAUAAGCAACCACAUAGAGCAGGAUUUUUCCCUGCUGCUGUGCAUGUGUAUGAACAGCUUCCAAAGGAGGCUUUUGUGGGGCAUCAGAUGGGUUUACCUUGGGCUCAAUGAGUCCUUCAGUUAGGUUUUAAUAUAUUAUUUUCCCUGUCAUUUCUGCUUAGAUAGUGACAUUGAAUGCUCUGAUGAUAUCAACCAACUAUGUGUUCCUUCACUGUCAAGUAUUUGGGAUGGAAAUUUAGCAGGCAGUUAGAUUAAAAUAAAAAUAUCCUGCUGGCAAGGAAAUAAAUUGAAUUAAGUCGGUGCUGCUCUGAAUGUUGGUAACUGUGGAUGAGUUUUCAUGGUUCAUUCUGAAGAGCUACCGAGGCACCCAACAGCUCAUAUAUUAAGGCUAAAUUACUGUUGUUAAAUUUAUUUCCCAAUUCUCUUUGGUAUUUAAAAAAUGCAUUAUCCCCACAUUGCAAAACUUGAAGAAGCUCUUUAUCCAUACCUCGGAACACAAGAAAUGGAAAAGCAGCAUCUAAAGCAAGAGAAGAUUGUCACAUGAACAACUGCACGUAAACCGGCGGUGAAUAAAAGAUGUUCCGUGCCAUCAGGGAGAGGGAAAUCUCCUCUUAGAGCUUCACAAGGGAAGUGUAGGGACCAAAGCCCUCGGGCUUUCUGUGGGGCUGAAUCAGAUCAUGAAAGAAGCUAUAAGUAGGUGAGCAGUCCCAAGGGGUGGCACUAAGCCACGUAGGAAGUCUCUUCUGUGCGGUAGUCUUUGAGGAACAGUCUCAGAGAUUGUUAAAUAUUGAAGGAAAUAUGAACUUCAAAAAGUGGGUUUUAAUUUAAAUAUCAUAAUAGUUGUCGUGUGUAAGAAGUAGAAAGCAUUGAGUUCAACUGUGCCGAAGGGAGGGCGAUGCCUGGCUACAACUCAUACUGAGCUCUGCCCCUUUCUGGGAGCUCGUAGGGCAGCCCAGAUCUUUCUUAGGGUAUGCCUUCUAUUGGAACACGAGUUCUUAGGGUGUGACUUUUCAAGCUGAGAUGUCUGCACAUGAAAGAAUUUGAGCUUUCAAAGAACUCCGGGCCUUUGCUUACCUCCUCUUGAAUUGUAGGGAUCUGAACUACUCGGAAAAGACGAAUUUACGCCGCUUUUCCAAAGGUGGGAUCUGGUUCCUUUGUUUGUACUGAAAGAUUGAUCAGAGCAGGUAAACAGACAUUUGGUGCGUAGCUGAUUAUGAGCUAUGGAAAAAUGGACAUCUUUUUUAGUUGUUCCUAAAAGAUCAGGCUUAGGAUUCAAAGCCGUAACGCAUUUAUUGUGGUAACGCAAACUGAAGUCAUGUGAAUCGAGAACCAUAAGGGUUCCAUUAGCACACAUGGAAAGUCGAGUUGGGUCUGUAAUAGCACUGACAGUAAGUCCCAUUCAGGAGCAUUACUUCUUAAAAAUUAAACAAACCUCUCAAGUGGCUUAACGUGUAGCUGACAGUGCCAGCACGCUUCAAUUUCCAUUCAACCUGAAGUUGCCACACUCUCCAUUCUAAAUGGAAAUAGUGUUCUGCUGAUGUCACUGGCAAGCCUCCUUUUCUCCCAGCAAAAAUGUUUGUGUUACAGUGACUUCUUGAUCCCUGAGAAUACGUUUGUCUUGGUGAUCUGCUUCAGAUGCAAAUUGCUAUACCAGUCAGCUUGUGGGAAGAUAAAACCUUUCUUUAUUUUUAGUUCUGUCCAUUUAAAUCCAACGUGCAGUGCUAGAUGUUGGAAUCAGCGUGGAUUCUUUCUGCUCGGAAGCCUCUGGGAAGAGAUGUCUCACCCCAGUGCUCAAAGGCUGCUUCUAAUUCUGUUGUUUUUUUAAUGUUUUCUUUAAGUGAUACCUAUGGAACGUGUUAGCCACCAAUUUGGGAAAUCUCCCUUGUAUCUCAGUCUUCUGUUUCUCUUGUUUCCUCCCCUGGCCUCAAAGCAGCAGCACAGCUGUGCCAGGAUACCCAGGACUGCUUUUCUGCGCCUCGUCCUUUCAGCCCCAUUGGAUGCUCAGCAGGAGCCGCUCAGUUCACACACGCAGUGCGUUCUGCCUUCCAAGAGCUUUCCAUCAGGCGAGAGGCUCUCUUCUUUUUGCCUGUUUCAAAUGUACCGUUCUACGUGUCCUACAAGAAGUCUUCACGCACCUCUCCAGGUAUUCAGGGAGAAGAAGUCCAUUUUUCUGUUGCCAUCAGACUCAGUGCUUCGUGCAGUGGUCCAUGAUGGGACCACUCAGGAAAAUACUCUUAGCUGUGGUUUCCAGCACAAGAAAUGUUGCAAAUCUGAGCUUAAAAAAAUCAAGUUUGGCUGCUGCACAACACUUUCUCAGUUGAUUCCUUAUUAUUUAACACUUCUCUGAAGUUCAAGUCUUUUUUUUUUUUUUUUUUUGUCUCCCCCCUUCAAUACAGCCUUCAUCCAAAAGACACUGCCAAAUGCUUUACAAGUAGUACAGAGAAAGAGAAAUUGUUUCUGGCACCUAUUGCAGUAGUCAGCAUUGAGCAUCCCGCUUACCCAGCUCACAAAGCACAGAGCCUUAUUUUGUUAGGAUGUACAAAUGCUUCUGCUAUCAAACAAGCAAAAGGACAGCCAGCCCACCUAACCUGCUACCAGCUAGCCACCAAGGUGAGCUUACUGAGCCACUGAGCUUGUAGUUGUAUCAAUGGACACCAUUUGGUCAUUUAUAUUUCUUGCGAAAGAUGGUGGUCCCAUGGUGUGAGCUUUGAUAGCGUGGUAUCAGAAUGUUGUCCCAGUUAUGCCUACCGAUCAGUAAUUCAGAAGGCUCUGCACUAGUGAAGUGCUGGGAGGAGAGGUGCCUUCUGUUUUCUGCUCCAUACUUCCACUCUCUUCCCUCUCUUUUUUUUUUCCAAGGUUGGCUUGGUAUUAUGUCAUUUCAGAUGGACAAGAUUAAGUGAAAUCCUGCUUUGGGUUUCUGAUGCUCUCCCCUCUGUUUUGUGUUAACACUGAGAAUUUGUUUCUGUGUUGUUUGUGGCUGAGGCCUUUUUCCCCACCCCCUGCCUGAGAUGGCUCAAGAAAUGCUGAACAGAGUGCUUAAUGAUUUCCAGUGUUUUCUCUUGACAUUUUAGUUUAGGAGAAUGAGCAAUGCCUCCACUGGGGACUUCCCUGGCAGAUCCACGUCUGAACAGCCAGGGCUGGCUUCCAAGAACAUUAAAUUCCAGCUGCUUUUCCAUCCAAGGCAAGGUUAUGCAUAUUUGGUGCCUGGCUUAACGCUGCAAGGGACAUAAUUUUCAGUGGUAUAAUGGACCGCUUGAGCCUCUCUUGUCAACUGGGAGUUUGAGUAUGCAGCGCGUUUGGAAAUGCAGCCCAUCCUUACCCAGCAACUAGCAAGGGAGAAAUCCAGACCUGCCAGUCGCUAUUUCAGCCUGUGACUUCUGCUCGCCUUUGUCCCAUCCGAGCGCGGUAAGGCAGAGCUUGUGUGCUCUUCUGGAGUUGGCUCCGCGUCUGCAGCUGCACGUUGAAAGGUACCGCAGUGUUUUCAGAAACCCAAAAGGUAGCCAGUCUCCAGCUGGUAAAAUUGUCAUCGUUCAUCAACUGAUUGAACUGUGGAAAUUUACCCAAGUAGAGGAUCAGGUCCAGUGUACACAGCUGGGAACCGAGCUGAGCUCAGUAGCUAUCUGUGCUCAGUGCUAAGCACCGGCCAACUGGGUUGCGCACGACUUUCUGCUAGGUAGCAGUGUGUCGAUCAAUGUCCUCUUGUUCGCUUGGAUCCAUGUUGUCUCCCAUUGCUCUGUCCCUUCUCUGUUCUCCUUUUCCUUCUAACUAAGCAACGUCUUACGGGCAGCGAGAGGGCGAGCCACAAUAGAUGAAAACAGAUCUGUUUUUGUGAUGUUUCUGGGGAAAACGUUCCUGCCCUUACACUUGAACUUCUCUAAGAGUGGUUAUAUUUCAUUACGCAUCUUAUCCUUGUUUGUGAAACAAGCAUGAGCUGUGCUUGCUAUGAGUUCAGUAGAGAAAAGAAAUGGAUAUUUGGGGAAGAUUGUUCCUCACUUGACAGCAUUAUUGUAAGCAAGGAAAUUUAAAGGAGGUUUUGCUUAGGCCCUCUAUUUUUCUCUGACUUUGUGUUCGUAUUUUUUUCCUGAAGUUUGUCUCAAGGUCUGCAUGAAGACCCAAACCUCUAAAAUGCUUUAAAGUCGAUCUCUCUCUGCCCGCGUGUAUUCAGCUAGCGUGGUAAAAUGUUUUGUUUCUCUUUUUUCUUUCCAGAGUCUAUGAGAUCAUUCAAGUACGGAGACUUGGCAGCCUCCAUGUACGUACAAAGACGGCUGUUUGAAUUUCAGACUAAGUGUCGUUCUGGCUAAGGAUGAAUUAUUUGGUGUGUUACAUGAGGAUUUGCUGCUUUAUCUGGCCUGAAUAAGGUUGGUUUAUUAUCAAUGCCCCGUCAUGAUUUACACUGGACUGCAGUUUUCUGUCCUUUGGAGUUUUCCAUGUCUUACUGCCUAAAAGUACAGGCAUUUCUUUUAAACAGUCUGGUAAUAGAAAGGGUUGUAUGUAGCGAGGUAACAUGAUUGGAAGGCCAAGAAAAGGCAGCGCAAAAUAAAAUAGGAGAAAAUAUGAAAGUAAUGGUGGGACCAAAAAAACAAGGCAAGUGUUUUCUUGGGCUUAACUGGUCACUUACAGCUCAUGUACGGAGUUGAACAGUCACUCUGAACAGUGCAAUGUCUGGAAAAGCUGAAUAAGAAUUUUCAUACGUGAGAUAUUCUUGCUGGAGAUGGGAUUUAUAAUUUUUAUUUUUAAACUUAAAAGCAGGAGCAAUGGUUGUGGUCAUCAUCAGUUCAGAAGGCAGGUUCAUUUUAUAGACAUGAGUCUUGAAGUCUGUUACAAAGAGAUCCACUGCCUGAAGUGUGCUGAGGUGCCAGGGUCAUGUGUGCCAUCUGCAUCAUCUGUGCAAAGGGUGAGUGCUGUGCCCCUGUGAACUGCGUGGAACGCUGAAGGGGAGCAUUAAUGAGCAUUGCAGAUUGAUUUACAACACCUGGGUCCCACUUAAAAUAGCGUUACAAGAAGUAAAGCCUCUGUAUAUCCAAGCCUGAGAAGGCUGAUAGGAUUUUAUUUGCUUCUGAAUUCUGCAGCAUAGAUGAAGAGUGCACACCACCUCUCUCUCUUCAUUUCUGUUUAAGUUAUUUGUGCUAGUCCAUCUUUGCUGACAUUAGUGGCACUAUAAAAUACAACUGCCCUGGCUUUGGUCCCUUUAUUCACACGCUGUAGAUGAAUGUCAGAAGGCGUUUGCAUAUAUUUCUUACAUUGGCAAAUUGCUUUGUCUUUCAAAGAGUACGUGUGCCAUUCACAGUGCAGGUCUGUGCUUUCUUUGUGGACUGCACUUGAGAAGUGCUAAAAGCGUAAGGGUACAUUGUAUACAUAUAGCUUCCACAUGCUGUUGAUUAUGUUGUCCCAUCUUUCACAUCAGAAGAGUCAGGAAACCAAGACGUUACUGUUGAUCACACGUUGGAAUGCAUUGUUAAAGCCGUGUGCUUACAAAAGAAAAAGUUGUUCAUCCUUUGGCCUUGUUUCAAACCAGGAAACAAGACUGUCAAAGUCUGUGUGAAAGAGCUGUCAGAGCCUUCUGCUGUUUACUGGUAGGUAGAGAGGGUUGUGGAGACAAAGGCAGGAAACCAUUCUUGAACAGAAGAAGCACAAUCAUAGAAUCACAGAAUGGUUUGGGUUGGAAGGGACCUUAAAGCACACCCAGUUCCAGUCCCCCACCAUGGGCAGGUUUGUCCCCCACCAGAUCAGACUGCCCAAAGCCCCAUCCAACCUGACCUUGAGCACCUGCGGGGAUGGGGCACCCAUGGCUUCUCUGGGCAGUAGUCUAUAUAAAGUUAAAGGCUAUACAGGGAAGAGUUAUAGUGAAGAGUUGCUUCCUUGCAUCUAAUCUAAAGCUGCCAUCUUAAAGCCAUUAACCAUUGUCUUAUCCAUACAUGCCAUUGUAAAAGGUCCCUCCUCAGCUUUCCUGUGGGCCCCUUUAGGUACUGUAAGGCUACAGUGAGGUCUCCCCAGAGCCAAACUUGAACAAGCCCAACUCUCAACCUUUCUUCAUAGGAGAGGUGCUCCAGCCCUCUGAGCAUCUUCGUGGCCCUUCUCUGGACCCAGUCCAAGAGGUCCAUACCCUUCUUACACUGGGCGCCCUCGAGAUGAGCACAAUAUUCCGGACAGGGCCUCAAGAGAACAGAAAUAGAAUUCAGUAAUAAUACGAAAAUCUGAACAGGAAAACUUCCAGAUUAAGUUAAAUAUAUAUAUAUAUACUGACUUUUGUGUAAGAUUUUGUGAUCGUCCUCAUCUCUUAAAGAAGGGUGGGGGUGCCGAGUUGUGUGUUGGUCAACCAAAGGGCUCCGUCUCUGCUUCCUGUUUAGUCUCAAUGCAGGCCUUGUGCUGGCAGGGCAGAACCAAAAUGAGGUGCUAGUGAGCUGAGAGCUAUUGGUUCUGGGUUGCUGGGAUCCCUGAAGGGGUCAAGACUGGGAUUUUGUUUUGUUUGCGCACUCGGGAUAAAGUGCUGGAGUAAUAUCUUGGGCUGUCUUUGUCAGGAGCUUUAGCUGCUGCCUUCCUUAGCGUUUGUGUGGAUAUCUUUCCAACAUUUGGUGCACUGCAAUUAAGUCAGCGUCGGAAGCUGUAAGAUGAAAGAUGAGUGGGAGGGGAGAGAAAAAUAGAGCGAUAACCAAAGGCUGUUGCCAGCAAGAACUAAAGAAACAGCACCAAAUGAUUGGCAAAGUACCCUUUGGCUUCUUUCAUACAGUCCUUCAUCACAAGCAAUAAAGCACCUCUUGAGUUGUUCUUCGCCUACUGGUUGUAAAUCCUAAUGCCUGUGUUCCCAGACCUCACAACAGCCUCUGCUCUCCGGGAGUCCAACUGCUGGGCACGUGGAGCAGACAGAGGAGUCAAAAUGACGAUGGGAAGAGUAGCAAUCACUGAAUUUCUCACUCUCCACCAGGGAAUCUGCUGUGAGUUCUGGGAGGUGGAAAGAAGGCAGCUCCUCUGGAAACACUGUUGGCUUCUAAUAUGAUCUGUUUUUCACAGCCAAAGAAGGGGGAGCAGCCACCUUCCCCCCGAACAGAGCGUGUGGAAGUGAUGUCCUCAUUUCUCUUCUGCCUCACCAGGUGAACCCUGAGGCUGAGGGGAAGGGAGGAGAACAGAGGGCCCAGGAGAAUGGGAGAAGCUGGCAAAGGCUGGACUGAAUGUCUGCAUAGUUAGCAAAGGACGUGGCCUGGAAAGGGAGACCUCGGUGUCGUGGAGGGCCCUUGCCUGAAUGUGAUGCCUAUAGGCCAUAUUUUAAAACAAAACACUAACACAUUCAGCCUUCCUUGCUUUUGCUCCAAAUCACUGCAGCCGUGGUAUGUAUGAAGCUGUUAACUGUUGUGUCUUUUUAAAUGUGCUUUAAAAUGUGCCUGGAGGUUUGGGGAAUUUCUUAUUUCAUUUUUAUUUUUUUUGACUUGUAUUUUUUUAAUUCCCUCUGAAAUGCUGCGCUGUUUAUAUUUAAGCAAAACCUCCAGCAGGAAUGAAUAAAAUCAAAGAGCAUCACGAUCUUGCAAGGCAGAUUGGCGGCUGACAGAUACGUCUGGCUGAAGGAGCCUUUUCACAGGGAACAGGGGUAGGCAGAGCCUGGGGAACAGAGCAGCCCCUUUCCCUAUCUCUGCUCACUCCCUUUCCCAUCUCAUCUCGCCUGCCCCAAAUCUCUCUCCUCUGCUCGAAGUGCGUAUCAAAUGCAGGGUGACAGCAGCAGUGGCAGUUCCAGCAGCAUCUGAAGUUGUGCUUGUUUGGCAGUGAAGGCUGUCCAGGCCCUUGGCUGCUCACUCCCCUUUGCUCUCCAAGAGCAGCAGUGCCGUCUCGCACUUUGGAGAAGCUGCUCCUUCUGUUUUCCAGUGGAAUAUCUGAUGCAAAUUCAGUUUCCACACUAUAAUGCUCUUUAAUUCGAGCACAGUUUUUAGCAGCCUGUUUUCACUCAGGAAUGUGGAUAAGUACCGAGGGCUUUUUCCUUUGUUAACACCCUGGGUCAAGUGACCUGUGUUGCUUUGUUGGCCAGAGGAAUGACUUUGGCUGCAAGCGCGUGGGGUUUGGUAGGAGUCCCUACCUUCAUACAGGAAGGAAUCCAACAAAAUAAGCCUCAUUCCUUGCCAUGCCUCUUUAUGCCCUUCUGUUCCGAAGCAAAAAAAAGCACAGUGCUCCAUGGCACUGCUGCUGCAGGGACAUCACUCUGCUUUUGUGAUGGGAACGCUGGGGGAAAAAAGCUUCAUCAGAAGGGAAGCAUCUGGCAAAGGUGACAUGAGAAGUGCUUUGUGUUCUGUUUUGCAUCCUUGAAUUGUACGUUGAAGACCCACGUGAAUUGUGGCGGUGGGGAAAUGUUGGGGCUUUUUGGCUUUUUUUGUGUUAGGAUCUUAUACACCCACACAGCUCUAAGUUUUCCUGCCUCUUCCACCCUGGAAAUUCAGGCUAUCUGAGGGAGCUCUGUACGGUGCUCCCGCUGACAUUACCUCCAGGUCAGGCUAUUAGCAUGAGCAGCAGCGGGGAGUCUGUGCUUGGAUGGGGCCCUCAGUUUCAGGCUCGUGUUUACCAUCUUGUCAGCUGGUUCUAACUGAUUGUAGGAAAAACACUGGAAGCUGCGAGGGCCUUUUUAUUAAGGUCAUCUUCUGGUGUUGGUGGGCCCAGUGUUGUUUUUUUUUGCAACAGGAGGAGUUUCGUGCUCCUCCAAUUCACUGUGUUUUAAAUGAGAUAAAAGCAUGAUUUACUAACCUGGUCUUUAAUUCAGGGACUGAAAAGCUGUCCCUUUGGUUUGCAAAGCAAAAAAGAAAAAGCUCCUUGCCCAGGGAGGCUGUGGAUGCCCCAUCCCUGGAGGCAUUCAAGGCCAGGCUGGAUGUGGCUCUGGGCAGCCUGGUCUGCUGGUUGGCGACUCUGCACGUAGCAGGGGGUUGGAACUGCAUGAUCACUGUGGUCCUUUUCAACCCAGUCCAGUCUAUGAUUCUGUGAUUCGUGCAGGACAGUGGAGGAAAGAAGUGUCUAUCAAUAGUUCUGCUGGAAGGAGUUUGGUUCGGAAGGAAAAGAGCUGUCUAGGUGUCCUGUGGGGAAGUCAAUGGCUGUGCACAUCUCCUUACCCUUUCUGCUUUGUCUCCCAGCUUGUCUUUCCACGGUAUUAUUGCUAUAAUAAAUCCAGCCCUCACUUUUAAAGUGGGAACAAAGAACACCAGCAGUGCCCUUCAAAAAACCCUUUCCCACCCACCCAAAAAAGAGUGGGGAUGGAGAACAUAAAAAACACAAAGCCCUUAUGUUCUCCAAAGCCUCAUGUACCUUCAGCACACUUAAGUUUCUACUGUAAGCCUCUGCUUCCAUUCCAGACCAUGCUAAAAUUAUCCUUCUGAAGCCUUUCCUAGACAAGCUUUUGUUACAUGACUCUUUUGGACAGGCAUCGAUGUGUUUCCCAAAAGCCUGUCUUCCAGGAAUGGCUUAGUGCUGGCUUUGGGGCAGGUGCUCGGAUACUCCGCUGCUUUCUGGUGUAGCCCAGCACUGCAGCAUGCUGCAAAAUGGCACUCUGAGCUUCCCUUAAUGCUGGAAGUUAACCACAGCUGGAGCUGGUUCUUUGAAUCCUCUCCGUUCUAUUUGCAUCGAGUUGUUUCAGCCAGUGCGGCACUGCUUAGAAAAGCGCUGAGGAUCCAUACAGAAGUUCUUAUUUCCCUCAUCUUUAAAGGCAGCUUCAGCACGUACAUUUUUAACAUCUUCAGCAUCUGUUGGUAUUUGUGGCAGUAGCUAUUCACAGUUGCUGCUCUGCAUGAGCUCAUGUUGUCCCUCACCUUUUCCAAAUGGCAGACAAAGCAAAGUGCACUCCUAUAAGGAAUCCUAUAAGGCAGUGGGGGUGGGACGCAGUGACCCGAGGAGCCCCCCAGGCCUUGCUGUGUCUUGUCUUUAGGUGAAGAAUAAUUGGUAUCCAAAUGCCCUGGGUUUUGUGGUCCUGUUUUUUAAACUCUGAGCUGGCAUCAUUAGGUUACCAAAGAUGGCGACUGAAUGCAUUUGAUAUUGGAUUCUCCGUCUUCCUUCUCUGGGUAAUUAGGAAACUCUUCCAGUCCUCCAAAUGAGGCACACUGUGUGAGUAAGGAGCUAUUUGUCCUAUGUCAGAGUGCCUUCUCUCCGAGUGCUGUUUGCUGUCUGGAUUUCUGACCAUUGAACAAGAAGUGUCCAUUGUGCUUCUAGUUUUUCAUUAAUUUGGAAGGUAAUCCCUGCAUCCAAACAGCUGUUUUCAUUGGCCCGGAGUACUAAGCUACCAAUAAAUUUUCCUCCUGAUUUUUAACUCUUGCAGGCCUUUGGGAUUUGGUUAUUUCAAGAGUUCUUGUUUGCUUGGGUUUGUGGACUAUUUUUUUUCUCCAGGACUGGAGUUUUCCCAUUUAGGUGGAGCAGCAAAGCUGAAUGGGAACGUCUGGCUUCUUUCAGAGCUCCACCAGUGCAGACCUCCCUCACGAAAGCCACGGUGAUGUCACGUCCAGCAGCACAGGAGGGGAUCAGAGCGUGCUCCUACCCAUUCAGCACAGCCCCGAGAUUACUUUUAACCAAGGUCACUUCUGCAGUUCACUUGACAACAGCCUGGGCAGCGGCACACUACUGGCACAGCCUGCGGACUGCUAUAGGGAUGGGAGGACAAACAGUGACAAUUGUCUCCCGGAUUUACUGCGUCGAAGCUGUGCCGCGGCCACCUUCUGAUCAGAAGUGGGUAGAUAAAUCUGCUCCGUGUUCUGCAGUGACUGCCUGCUGCCCUGAAGGAAGCGUGUCAUGUCUGCAAGGAAGCGUUUCAACCUGCAGCCGUGGAGUACGAACAGCAUCAAUCACUCCUUUCCAACAAAGGUUGGGUUGUGCUGAGCCCUAAUCUUUUAAAUAAGACCUACUGUAACAUGCACAGAAUGUUUCCCAUGUUGGAUUCUACCUUACAAGCACUGAUUACGCCCACUGAUGCUUCAUGAGACAACCAAGCCAGAUUUGUGCCUCGAUUUGAAAAUACUCUGACACAAUAAAAGAAGACUUCUUAAUCUUUCAUUCCUUUGCUGCAAAGCUGGAAAGCACGGAAAAAAACACCUGGUUUUGUUGGGUUUGGUUUGUUC
ensembl:lncRNA